rnacentral:lncRNA from 1 species
GAAUUCUACAAAGAGGCUAUGGGAAAGAAACCUGGAAAGUACCCUUGGCUGUGUACAUUUGAGUAAAGAGAGCACUAUAAAAUCAAAAACCAAUGAAAUGGUUUCCAGAACACAGAACUAUUAAGCUUAAGAAAAGGACAGAAGGAACUGAAGAGAGAGGAACUGUUUUGGAGCAUCACACUUCCACCUCAGAAGAAAUAAGGAAGGAAGGAGGAGGGUGUUCCCACGGCUCUUCAACCAGGCCGGCUCUUCAGCCUACAUCCCCAUCUCAUCAAGUAAAAGGGAUUUUUCAACUGGACCAACCAGAUGGUUUAACAGUGCACUCCCACACCAUUCAACUACGCAAGGGAGAUACACUUAACAUAUGCAGUCGUAUAACACCUACUAACAUUUUCAAACAUUAAACCUUUAAAAAAGAGUUCUAAAGAAAUAGAAGCUUGAAGUAUCAUCUCUCAAGUAUAUAGACACUACUUCAUGGUGUGGUAAUAUAUGCAUAUAGAAGCUAGUAAACACCUCCAGGAGAUGCAAAAGGAAUUAGAACUGCCACAAGGUGCAAGCAAAACCUUGAGAUGGUGUCAGCUUCCUCAAACCACACAGCUGACCGUGGAGAAAGAGAUCGUUUGUCAAAAGACAGUUGAGGUCCUGUUACCGGGGGGAAAAAUGCCAGAAACAAAAGUUCUGUUUUUCCUCUUCUAAUCCUUCACCCAUCUGAGCUAAAGUCUAGACCUAAGGAGGCUACUAAUUCAGGGAUCGAGUAAUCUGCCAAGCAAGAGUUUAUUCAAGCACAGUUUGAAAUAAAGGUUUCAAAUGCAUAGCCUGUCGAUACUUUGGAAGGAUUCUCAUCAUAACGAGUAUGCAAUUUGCUAUAAAGAAGAAUGCCCAUUACGGACUAAAUGUUUAUGUCCUCCUAAAAUUCAUAUGUUGAAGGCCUAACUCUCAAUGUGAUGAUUAUGUGGAGAUGGUGCCUUUGGGAGGAUAUGGGAGGACACCUGAGACGGCAGGCCAGAAGUCACUCAGUAGGAGAAACAUCCGUUAGAAGUAAUAAUGUGGGAUUGCUGAAGUAAAGACUAUAGGAAGAAAAAAGUGUCUGUGUGUAGGAAACGGAAAGGGAGAGAAAAAUACACUGAGAUGGUAAAGUAAGGAAGUGGAAGAUCAGCAGAAUGUGCAGAUGCCAAGCCAUCCAAGAAAAUCAUCUCUUGUGAUUGUUGCGAAGUCAACUAGCUAAUGUGACUCACUGCUAGGCUGUUGGAUCUGAGACUUAUGUGGGAUAAUUUAGAAACUUGCUAGUGUCUUAAGAUCAAUUACUCACCAAUGAGAGUGGCAUUGAACUGUGAAUGUUCCUCCUAGAUUUUCCAUGAAGACUAAUGGUUUUGUCUUGUCUUGAAUUUGUUUUAAUUACAAUUUGUAUACAUC